GCAUGCGUCAAGCAGCGCCCUGUUUUCGCGCCCAAAUUGGCGAGCAGGAGAAUCGUCCAAUCGGACGGCGACACAUGGCAAAGGGGUGGGACGAAGGCUAAAAAAAAACGGCCGUUUUGGAGGCGGGGCUUCUUCUUGGCUGUAAAUUGUAAAAUUUGCCUCAGACAAUCUCGGGACGCCGAGAGAGAAGGCAGCUUGGCCUGGGAGCCAUUCUGAAGACCUGUGUAGGAAGAAAGAAAGAAAGAAAGAAAGAAAGAAAGAAAGAAAGAAAGAAAGAAAGAAAGAAAGAAAGAAAGAAAGGGCAGCCGCGGCUAGAAGGCCUGAAGAGACAGGCUCCGUUUCUGAAGCAGAAAUGGCAAAGCCUUGUGAAACGGACGGAAGAAAUAAAGGCAAAAUUUCUGAAAAUUUCCACAGCUUUUUCUGAAGGGACCAGCGCUGAAUUCAAGUCAACGUGAAGAAAGAAACAAAAGGUCGAGAGACAGAGGACAGAAGAUGCUUGAAGACACCCUUGCAAGGACACCGCCUGCCUCCCAAAAAAGGUCGUUUUCAGGUUAAUUGGUGUAAGGGUAGGCAUUUAAUGUCUAUCUUUGCAUUAAAAAAAGGGUUACCUUUGCACACGGUUCCCCUCGCGUGUGGCAUCGAAGAAGUCCCACUCGGGAACGGACGGGUCCUCCCUUUGUUCUAGGCAGAUGAUGGGUCUUCCUAUACGGGCCGUAGGGGUCACAGCUUGGGGGUCAGCGGGGGGGCCCCGCCCUGGCAUCGCGGGGGGCAGCACACGUUACGGGCAUUUUAAGAUGUCCUUGCAACUUAGAAAUAAAAAUAUCAAUACCUUAACUCACUUACUAACAUCCUACUAACACCAUUCUAAAUAGGGUACCCUGGCCUUUUAAAUAGGACUGUGUUCUGCCUGAUGGCAAGAACCAAGCUGGGAAGGGAGGGGGCCUCCUGGCCCCCCAUAAAAGGGCCCCCAUGGAAGGACAUUGCAAAAGGCCCCUAAGGUGUCCUGAGAGCAGCCUCUUGGUCCUCAGUGUUCCCCACGGGGCCAGGGCUGGGCCCCUCGCUCUCCCCCAACCCAUGGACCCUGCCGCUUGUAUAUCAUCCGCCCAGGGCCAACGGAUGCCCCCUCCCUCCCCGGGCGGAGCUUCGAGGCCACACUCAAGGGGAGACCAGAGCCGUGUGCCUCAUGCCAACGCCUAGCACGUGGCGAACCUUUUUUUUAACUGCAAACAUAGGCAUCAUGAUUGUGAUUUUUGUUAAUUCCUUUUAAAUUUAAUUGUUUGUAUUCAAUAGCAUGGUAGGCUGGUUUUAUAUCAGUGAGCCGCCCCGAGUCCCUCUGGGGAGAUGGUGGCAGGGUACAAAAAUAAAAUUAUUAUUAUUAUUAUUGAUUCGAGGCACCUGGAAAAAGAAAUACCAGGAAGCAGAUAAAAUUAUUAUUAUUAUUAUUAUUACUGAUUCGAGGCACCUGGAAAAAGAAAUACCAGGAAGCAGAUAUUAUUAUUAUUAUUAUUAUUAUUAUUUAUUGAUUCCAGGAAAAAGAAAUACCAGGAAGCAGAUAAAAUUAUUAUUAUUGUUAUUGUUGUUAUUAUGUAGGACCCCCUUUUAUUUAUGUAAGGCCACACACCCAGGGGACCACUAUUCCUAAUUAAAGCCUGGUUAAAGGGGAUCCUCUAUUCUUAAAGUUAGGCAUAUAGAGAUCUCCUAUCCAGAAACUAACGCGGCCUGCCCUAUAGAGAUCUGUUAAACCAAGGCGGCCUGCCCUAUAGAGAUCUCCUAUUUCACGUAAUACCAGGCAAUAUGGAGAUCCCUGGUUUUUUUAACCGUUAAAUCCCUUACGUGGGGAUAUCCCUGGUUUUUUUUAACUGUUAAAUCCCUUACGUGGGGAUAUCCCUGGUUUUUUUUAACCGUUAAAUCCCUUACGUGGGGAAAUCCCUGGUUAUUUUAACCAUUAAAUCCCUUACGUGGGGAGAUCCCUGGUUAUUUUAACCUUUAAGUCCCUAACGUGGGGAAAUCCCUGGUUUUUUUAAUCUUUAAGGCCAGAUGUGGGGAUUUCCUUGCUUCUUUUAACCCGUAAGGCCAGCCAUGGGGAGAUAUCUUAGGCUAUUUUCACGAAAAGUCAGGUAUAGACGCACUGUUUUCUCUCCCGUUCCAUGUGCCUGGAUUCCCGGAGGGCUCCUGCCGGACACAGUCUCCCAUCGGCCGAGAGGGAUCCUUCUUGUCUGGGAAGGAUCUGCAACACAGGUAAAAAGAAGAUUCCGGGAAGGAGAUUCUACAGCGGAGCCCUUAAGCCAGGUGAGACACUCCUUCCAGCCUCCACGGCUGCCUUGCACACACACACACACACACACAUGACACACACGACACACAUACACGUGUACAGCUGGGGUCCACGGGGACUCUUCCCCAAUAGAUCGGGGACUCCCACUCCGGCGAUUGGCCAUUGUAAAUGCCUUGAAGCAGUUUGGGGCUUCCGGCCAAGCGCUUGCAAAGAGAAUCCAUUCAAGGUUGGACCCCCUUUUAAAGGGCCUGGCACGUGGUAUUUAUUCCUGGCACGUGGAAAACUCCAUUUGUAAUGCAAACCCUCGUUAAAGGAGGUUUGCAAUUAAUUUAAAACCAGGCUUCUGAGGGACCCGCUGCGUUUAAAGCCAAACCUAGCAGGUGGGAACCCCUUUGGUUAACGUAAGGCGAGGGACCCUCCAUAUUUAAUAAGAUGCCUGGCAGAAUCUUAACCUAAAUGCAGGCCUAUGGGCUACAGCCUAUUCUGCAUAGCCAGGCAUGGGGGGACCCCAGAUUAUUAACUUGAGGCCUGGGAAAAGGAGAUUUUUGUAUUUAUUUAUUACAAUAUUUAUAUCCCGCCCUCUCUCCCCUUAAAAGGGGACUCAGAGCGGCUUACGUUAUAUUUACAUAUUUAUUACAAUAUUUAUAUCCGGCCCUCUCUCCCCUUAAAAGGGGACUCAGAGCGGCUUACAAGUGAUAUUUACAUAUUUAUUUAUUACAAUAUUUAUAUCCCGCCCCCUUUCUCCUUAAAAGGAAACACAGAGUGGCUUACAAGUUAUAUUUACAUAUUUAUUUAUUACAAUAUUUAUAUCCCGCCCUUCUCACCCAACAGGGGACUCAGCGCGGCUCAACAAUAAGACGCAUAUAUAAAAACCACACAGUGCAAUAUAAAUCAUCACUAACUUACAUCAGUAUUCAUAAAACACAUUAUAAAAUACAGAUAGGUGUGUUCAGUUCAAAUCCAUUCAAGGUAUACGUGGACCCCCUUUUAAUGCCAACCUUUCCACGUGGAAAACUAUUUGUAAGGCAAACCCUCGUUAAAGGAGGUUUGCAAUUAAUUUAAAACCAGGCUUCUGAGGGACCCGCUGCGUUUAAAGCCAAACCUAGCAGGUGGGAACCCCUUUGGUUAACGUAAGGCGAGGGACCCUCCAUAUUUAAUAAGAUGCCUGGCAGAAUCUUAACCUAAAUGCAGGCCUAUGGGCUACAGCCUAUUCUGCAUAGCCAGGCAUGGGGGGACCCCAGAUUAUUAACUUGAGGCCUGGGAAAAGGAGAUUUUUGUAUUUAUUUAUUACAAUAUUUAUAUCCCGCCCUCUCUCCCCUUAAAAGGGGACUCAGAGCAGCUUACGUUAUAUUUACAUAUUUAUUUAUUACAAUAUUUAUAUCCCGACCUCUCCCCUUAAAAGGGGACUCAGAGCGGCUUACAAGUUAUAUUUACAUAUUUAUUUAUUACAAUAUUUAUAUCCCGCCCUCUCUCCCCUUAAAAGGGGACUCAGAGCGGCUUACAAGUGAUAUUUACAUAUUUAUUUAUUACAAUAUUUAUAUCCCGCCCUCUCUCCCCUUAAAAGGGAGGGGACUCAGCGGCUUACAAGUGAUAUUUACAUAUUUAUUUAUUACAAUAUUUAUAUCCCGCCCUUCUCACCCAACAGGGGACUCAGCGCGGCUUAACAAUAAGACGCAUAUAUAAAAAACCAUACAGUGCAAUAUAAAUCAUCAUUAACUUAAAUCAGUAUUCAUAAAACACAUUAUAAAAUACAGAUAGGUGUGUUCAGUUCAAAUCCAUUCAAGGUAUACGUGGACCCCCUUUUAAUGCCAACCUUUCCACGUGGAAAUCUCCAUUUGUAAGGCAAACCCUCGUUAAAGGAGGUUUGCAAUUUUAAAACCAGGCAGCUGAGGGACCCGCUGCGUUUAAAGCCAAACUUAGCAGGUGGGAACCCCUUUGGUUAACGCAAGGUGAGGGACCCUCUAUUUUUAAUAGGAUGCCUGGGAGAAUCUUAACCUAAAUGCAGGCCUAUGGGGCUACAGCCUAUUCUGCAUAGCCAGGCAUGGGGGGACCCCAUAUGAUGAAUUUGAAGCCUGGUAAAAGGAGAUUUUUGUAUUUAUUAACUUAUUACAUUUAUAUCCCGCCCUCUCUCCCCUUAAAAGGGGACUCAGAGCGGCUUACGAGUUAUAUUUACAUAUUUAUUUAUUUAUUACAAUAUUUAUAUCCCGCCCUCUCUCCCCUUAAAGGGGACACAGAGCGGCUUACAAGUUAUAUUUACAUAUUUAUUUAUUUAUUACAAUAUUUAUAUCCCGCCCUCUCUCCCCUUAAAGGGGACUCAGGGCAGCUUAACAAUAAAACGCAUAUAUAAAAACCAUACAGUGCAAUAUAAAUCAUCAUUAACUUACAUCAGUAUUCAUAAAACACAUCAUAAAAUACAGAUAGGUGUAUUACAUACACUGUAUCAUUAGCAUCGCACAAUAUUAGCAUUAUAUAUUACUACAUUGCAUUAUACCACUAUACAGAAACAUUAUUAGCACUAUUACAUUUAAUAUAUAAUAUGUAAUUCAUAUUAUUAUAUUGUAUCAUUGUUAGUAUUGCAUUAUUUAUUUAUUUGCUAGAUGUAUAUGCUGCCCUUCUCAACCCCAAGGUGAACGGCUUACAAAUUAAAUUUACAUACAAUAUUAUAUUAUUACCAUAGUACAAUACUGGCAGUAAAUUACUAUAUUGUACCAUAUGAAUAUAUGGUAAUAUUAUUAGUAUUACAUGCAAAAUGUAAUACAUAAUUAAUAUUAUAUUUAAUUAUUAGUAUAUCGUUUUACAAUAUAAUAUGAACAUUAUAUGUAUAUGCAAUAUGUUAUAAUUAUAUAUUAAAAUUUAUAUAUAUAUACAUAUAUAUGUAUGUAUGUAUAUAUGUAUGUGUAUAUAUAUAUAUAUAUACACACACACACACAUAUAUAUACACACAGUAGAGUCAUCCAACAUAAAUGGGCCAGCGAAUAUUUAUUUAUUUAUUUACAGCAUUUUACCGGGCUGGCCUCGAACUCAUGACCUCCUGGUCAGAGUGAUUUGUUGAUAUUCAUUAUUCAUUUAUAGCAUUUAUAUUCCGCCCUUCCUUCUCACCCCGAAGGGGACUCAGGGCGGAUCACAUGACACAUAUAGGCAAACAUUCAAUGCCUUUUAACAUAGAACAAAGACAAACAGGCUCCGAGCGGGCCUCGAACCGUGACCUCCUGGUCAGAGUGAUUCAUUGUAGUUAAUUGCAGCUGGCUUGCUUUCCAGCCUGCGCUGUUGGAUAAUAAGGAGGCAUUAUGGAAAAGCCUAUUAAACAUCAAAUUAAUUGAUGAUUUUACAAAUUGAGCACCAAAACAUCAUUUGACAGAAAAAGUAGUUCAAUAUGCAGUAAUGCUAUGUAGUAAUUACUGUAUUUACGGAUUUAGCACCAAAAUAUCACGACGCAUUGAAAACAUGGACUACAAAAAUGCGUUGAAUUAUCCAGAAUGUUGGAUAAGAGAGUGUUGGAUGAGACUACUGUAUAUACAAUAUAAAUUAGUAUAGCAUGUUAUUGGGGGAGGAGCAUCUUGGUUAUUAGAUGUUUUUAUUAGUUAUUGAUACUAGUAUAGAUAUGACAUUGAGUAUAUAUUAUCCUAGCACAAUGUUAAUAUUAGUUAUUCAUAUUAGUCUCAAUAUGACAUUAAUAGAGUACAUUAUUAUCCUAGCACAAUGUUAUUAGAUGUUAAUAUUAGUUAUUGAUAUUAGUCUCCAUAUGACAUUAAUAGAGUAUAUUAUUAUUCUAGCACAAUGUUAUUACAUAGGACCAUGUUGUUGCUAGGGGGAGGGCCCCCCCACUGAUUGUAUUAUUAGUAUUAUGUUGUUGCUAGGGGGAGGGCCCCCCAACUGAGAUCCCCUGUCAUUAAUGUGUCAGACCAGGCAUUUCACUCCUACCUUUGCAUCAGAAAGCAGGCUCCCUGUGCGCUAGGCCUUCCUUUGAGGAACACAUUCACAGCUCCGCUUGAGUGUGGCACUGAGGCCCCACUCAGGGACGGGCGGGUCCUCCCUUUGCCCUGGGCAGAUCGUGGGGGGUGGGCGGAUCUCCAUAGACGGGCAGGGGGUCGCGGCUGGCGGGACAGCGGGAUAUAAAAAUAUAAAUAUAUAUAUAAAAACCCUUGCAUCCAAGGAAACAACUCUGGGGACCCGAGCGGCUGCUCCCAGCUCACGUCACGGGCAUUUUAAACAUCUCGUAGCAGCUCAGAUUAAUACCUGAACUAACCUUAACCUGCUAACCCUACUAACCCAUUUCUAACUAGAGCAGGAAUUUUAAAUAGGGCUGUUUUUGCCUGUUGGCAAGAACCAAGCUGGGAGGGGGCCUCCGGGCCUCGGGUGGGAAGAACCCUAACCCUGUCCCUGCCCUGCGCUGGGAGCGCCCCCCCUCGGGACCCCAGUGUUUGGUCCCCGCUCUCCCCCAAUCCGACGGCCUAGAAAGCCCCUCCGCCAUCCGCCCAGGGCCAACGGACGCCCCUCCCUCCCUCCCUCCCCGGCAGCCGCGUUCCUCAUGCAACAGGGAGCCUGGUUCUGGAUGCAAACGUGGGACCCCCUUAGGACCCCCUUUUCUCUGUGCAGGGACCCCCGCUCCCCAUAAAUAAAUGCCUGGUGGAAGGGGAUCCUAGUAGAAAAAGCCACAGUUCCCAAGAGCCCCCAAAAGCGAGAUGCUCCCUUGGUUCAGCCCUUCUGACACUUGUUUUCUCCCUUGUUCUAUGUCUCCGGAAUCGCCGAGGGAGGGGCUCCUCCUGGACAAGAGCCAAGGACGGACAGAUGGACGGACGGACGGAAGGAGAUCCCAGAGAGCAGGACGCCUUGCCGUUCUGGCUGCUGAGCUCGACCCCUUUCCAACAAUGUCAGCGUUCCAGAAUAAAACUCUUCCCAAAAAAAGGUGUUUUCUGGUUAUUAUUCAAACGUUUAAUUUUUGACAGCCUUAAACAUCUAGAUUACAAUACAGUUUGUGCUGCUGCCUUUUAUAAACCUUGUUUUCUACAAAUAAAGUCAAGAGAAAACACUAUAAGUUUUGCACUGUGCUCAGACUCAUUGUUCUGAUAUUCUGUUAUAUGGUUUUAUUAUUUAUAUCGUUUUUAAUGUAUGACUUUAUUACAUGUGACAUGGGAGCGGGGUAUAAAAAUAAAGUAUUAUUAAUAAACACCACAAUGUUCUUGCACCCCAAGUACAUCUGGCCAUUGCCAAAGAGUAUUUAACUCUGCCUACAUGGCACUAAGUGUAUUUAUAUGUUGAUUGUUUCUAUUGAUUUUAUGUAAUGUUUGCUUUAUUUGCAUUGAAUUUUUGUCUGGAUGUAUCUUGUAUGCCGCUCAUCUCCAUAAAUGAGCGGGAUAGAAUGAGGUUAAUAAUUUUACGAAUGUUUUAAUGUAACUUGAAUUUUAAAUUGAGUUGAAAUGUGACUGUAAUUGUUUAUAAGUGUUAUCUAUUUGUAAGCCACCCUGAGUCUCCUCUUAUUGGGUGAGAAGGUCUGGGAAGAAAUACUGUCAUAAAUAAAUAAAAUAUUCUGUGUCCA